AGUGAACGCUGGCGGUAGGCCUAACACAUGCAAGUCGAACGGCAGCACAGUAAGAGCUUGCUCUUACGGGUGGCGAGUGGCGGACGGGUGAGGAAUACAUCGGAAUCUACUUUUUCUUGGGGGAUAACGUAGGGAAACUUACGCUAAUACCGCAUACGACCUACGGGUGAAAGCAGGGGAUCUUCGGACCUUGCGCGAUUGAAUGAGCCGAUGUCGGAUUAGCUAGUUGGCGGGGUAAAGGCCCACCAAGGCGACGAUCCGUAGCUGGUCUGAGAGGAUGAUCAGCCACACUGGAACUGAGACACGGUCCAGACUCCUACGGGAGGCAGCAGUGGGGAAUAUUGGACAAUGGGCGCAAGCCUGAUCCAGCCAUACCGCGUGGGUGAAGAAGGCCUUCGGGUUGUAAAGCCCUUUUGUUGGGAAAGAAAAGCAGCAGGUUAAUACCCCGCUGUUCUGACGGUACCCAAAGAAUAAGCACCGGCUAACUUCGCG
rnacentral:rRNA from 1 species